GUCUGCUUCUUCCUCCUUAACUGAAAUUCAUAAUAAGAUUUUUUGUUUAGGAGAUGACACAUUCUUGUGUCAGUGGCUGCAAAAAUAGCUACAAAAACAGGAUAGUGUAGCAUGCAGGUGUAGACAGCAGUUGGAAAAUCAAUAAAAACAAAACAAGAUUUUUCCAAACAUCCGAAGAUGAGGAACUGUUCCAACUGAAGAAAGGAAGGCUCAAAAUUACUUGCUUCAUCCAGGGUUUGUGGCAAACAUUUCAUAGACCACAAAAUAGUUAAGCAAGAUGAAAUUAUCAUUUGAGGAAAUUGGUUUUCAAUCCUAGGACAAAUUUGAAACUAGAGGCAUGGGCCAACGUAAUUAGUUGUUUAGUUACUUUUUCGUGUGUGUGUUUAGGGAUGGUGAAGUUGGAGCCCGUCAAUGUUGUUAUGUCUAGGGGCAUAGGAUCGUUGAUUUUUUCCAAUGUGUUCUUCAGUCUUGUUCUGGCGCCGGAGUAGUGUUUUCAUUGCAGGAGAAUGUGUGUUGCGUCUUUCUUUUCAUCGCAUCCGUUUGGGCAUUCAGGAUUUAUGUCGAUGUCCCAUUUACCUAUCGUGUUAUUUAGUUUGCAGUUACCGCUUCUGAGCCUAAAGAGGGCUGUCUAGGUACUUCUUUUUUAUGGGUGUGCCACGAACAGACUUGCCGGUCGAUUAUAACCUGGGUGAUAAUCGUCUGCUACCGAUGAUCGCAAUAAACAAUAAUCAACGAUAAAAAUUUUUUGGAAAAUAUUUGAUUUUCUAUCAAUUUUUACCGAUUAUUUUUCCGAUUGUUUUUAAGCAGCAUCUAGCGGUAAAACAUCCAGUUUUUAUUUAAACAAAAACUAAAUGCAUGUUAAUGUAUACCGCCUUCUCUGGUCUGUAUAAAUACAAAUAUUGCCUUUUUCAUUUAUACUGUAGGUGUCGCUAAAUAAUCGAAAAAUGAUUGAAAAUGAAAAUCAUUUUUGAAAAAUGUAAUCGCUGAUUUUGAUCAUAAAAAAAAAACUUGAUCGCCGAUUAAAUUUUCAAUUGAAAUUUCAAUCACGAUAAUUUUUUAAUAACGAUUACGGCAGGUCUGGGCACGAGCAUGUUCUAAUUUUCUGACGGUUGAUCACAGCAAUGUUGGUGGUAAUUGUUUUCAAUCUGGCUAUCAACUGUUUAUGGCUGUUUUUCAUUUCCAGCAGUCUUUCAGCUAUGUUUGGAAAGUGGGCUAAAUGAUUGCCUUUUUUUGUGUGGCGUCUGGCGUUUUCUAGUUUGUCGACCGUUUCGUUGCCUAAUAUGUCUGAUAGGGAUUAUAUUGCUGGCUGUCCACACAAAGUUUCUAAUUGCAUCUAUGGCUGAUAUGGAGUCACAGAAGAUAGUGAUCAUGUUCCAUUCUUGGUGUUUAGGUAUGAAGAAUGCACAGGUUGACUUCCUGUUUGAUAUACAGUCGCGGCUGUAAGUUUCUUUACGUGUAGCUAAAAAAUCCGCCCUUUCACUGUGUAUUCGAGGAUGGUAUAUGCCUAUGGCAGAGGUUGAGAUACCUUAUUUGUUCUAUUUUGUUUUGUUUCCUACACCCUACCCAACCCCCCAUUUUUACUUAACUCUUCUUUUAUCGAAAAUUACUAUUUUACCACGAUGUGUCAUACGAUUACGCAGCCCUAUUAUCUCACACUCUAAAGAAAUGAAUAAAGAAGACGUUUUCUGAUUCAGUCAAACGAUGGGACUUAAUGUUAAUUUCCAUGCCCAAGUAAGUCAGAGUGUAGCUUAAUACUAAGUCGUUAUUGUUAACACGUUAAAUAGGGUUGCUUACCAUAUGCCACAUCGUGAUCAAAUAGUAUUUGAUGUUAAGCAGAAAAAUUAAGUAAAUAUGGAUGGAAGGGUAGGGGAAAGAAACAAAAGAAUGGAACAAAUAAGGUAUCUCAACCUCUGCCAUAGGCACAUACCAUCCUCAAAUACACAGUACAAGGGCGGGUUUUUUAGCUACAUGUAAAGAAACUUACAGCCACGACUGUACAUGUGGAUCCAUCUGUGUAUAUAGACAAGUGGUCUUGUGGCUGAUUAUUGUUAAAUGCCAUGAAGGUUGCUGCUGUGAGGAAGUUGUUCUGUAUAGCUAUCUUUUUUCUUAUUGGAAAUAUUUCAUCUGGGAUUGUAAACAGUUGCCAUGGUGCUAGGGGCUCCAUGUAUAGUUUGUCUCUUGGUUUAGUUCUUGGGUAAAUUUUGUUUGUUAUGUUUUAUUCCGUUAAGGGUCGGAUGGCUGAUGGAGUGUUUCUCGUUUUCCAGUUCGUGUUUUUGAUGAGGAGUAGAUUGUUGAAUAUGCUGGGUUCCAUGAUUUGUUACAUGGCUUCGUUAUGUAUCUUUUGGCUAGUAGGUCCUACCUUUCUUGGAUAGAUUUUAUUCUAGUUUCCGCCUGCAUUAGUGCUAUGGGUGUUGAGUUCAUUCAUCCUAGAAUUGAUCUAAUUAUUCUCUUCUGUGUUGUUUCUAACUUUAGGAUAUUUGUUUUCGAGAUCGACAAGAGGAAUACGGUUCCAUAGUCUAUUUUGCUGCGGAUCAUUGCAAUAUAUAUCCGUUUAAGCAAAGUUAUUUGUAGUGGAUGUGUACAGUAUCCUGCACAAAAAUCCGAACACCGAUUUAAUUUUUUAAAGCCACCUAUUGGCGGGGUAGCGGGUUUUUGUUUUUUUGUAAAGGGGGAGGGUAGACGGGGUGAU